AUGAAGGACCCUUACUACUCAGGUAGAAAUUGUUUGUGCAAGCUCUUUGACAGGGUACCAAAGAAGAAUGUCAUCACUCAAAGAAAUGAAACCUGUUGGCACUCAGCCAACCGAGCUUGUCCAGCCAACCGAGCCUGUCAAGAAAGAGCCAGCAGCUAAAUCCAGCAGAAGCGCACCCAGAGUUCUGUCCAGGAAACCAUUGACUAGGAAGGCCGAGCUCCGGGCGGCUGAAAAGAAGGCAUCGGGGUCAAGUAAGCCAGCAGCUAAAUGAGGAUAAAAAGAAGUGGGGCGACAUGUGAAGUGUCCAUGAAAUAGUUAUACGUAUAUUCAUGGUGAUCUUAAUUAUUUAUAUCUCUGAUCCAUGUGCCUCUCUCAGCCUGUUCGCCUAAUAAAUAAAAUACAUACUAAUUAGAAGAGUUGUUU